rnacentral:lncRNA from 1 species
CUGUAUUAGUAUUAGUAUUAGUCUGUAUUAGUAUUAGUCUAUAUUAGUAUUAGUCUGUAUUAGUAUGUCUGUAUUAGUAUUAGUCUAUAUUAGUAUCAGUCUGUAUUAGUAUUAGUCUAUAUUAGUAUUAGUCUGUAUUAGUAUUAGUCUGUAUUAGUAUUAGUCUAUAUUAUUCUGUAUUAGUAUUAGUCUGUAUUAGUAUUAGUCUGUAUUAGUAUUAGUCUAGUAUUAGUCUGUAUUAGUCUGUGUUAGUAUUAUUCUGUAUUAGUAUUAGUGUGUAUUAGUAUUAGUCUAGUAUUAGUCUGUAUUAGUAUUAGUCUAGAAUUAUCUGUGUUAGUAUUAUUCUGUAUUAGUAUUAGUCUGUAUUAGUAUUAGUCUAGUAUUAGUCUGUAUUGGUAUUAGUCUAGUAUUAGUCUGUACUAGUAUUAGUCUGUAUUAGUAUUAGUCUGUAUUAGUAUUAGUCUGUAUUAGUAUUAGUCUGUAUUAGUAUUAGUCUGUAUUAGUAUUAGUCAGUUCAUUCGACCUCAUGGCUCCGUUUUUGCUGUGACAUGCACUGUCAACUGUGGGACCUUAUAUAGACAGGUGUGUGCCUUUCCAAAUCAUGUCCAACCAAUUGAAUUUACCACAGGUGGACUCCAAUCAAGUUGUAGAAACAUCUUAAGGAUGAAACAGGAAGCACCUGAGCUCAAUUUCGAAUCUCAUAGCAAAGAAUCUGAAUACUUAUGUAAAUAAGGUAUUUCUGUUUUUUAUUUUUAAUACAUUUGCAACAAUUUCUGAAAACCUGUUUUCACUUUGUCAUUAUGCGGUAUUGUGUAUAGAUUGCUGAGGAUAAAAAAAAAUAAUAAUAAUCAAUUUUAAAAUAAGGCUGUAACAAAAAUAAAGUGUGGAAAAAGUCAA